rnacentral:misc_RNA from 1 species
UACGAAGGGUGCUAGCGUUGUUCGGAAUUACUGGGCGUCAAGCGCACGUAGGCGGAUUGUUAAAUGAGCGGUGAAAUCCCAGGGCUCAACCCUGGAACCGCCUCUCAUACUGGCAAUCUAGAGUUCGAGAGAGGUGAGUGGAAUUCCGAGUGUAGAGGUGAAAUUCGUAGAUAUUCGGAGGAACACCAGUGGCGAAGGCGGCUCACUGGCUCGAAACUGACGCUGAGGUGCGAAAGCGUGGGGAGCGAACAGG